UUGAUUUCUUCUGAAGUCCCUCUCCUCAGCUUGUUGAUGAUUGCCUUCUCUUGUGUUCAGAUAUUCAUCUUUUGGUGUAUAUCUGUACCCUCUCCUCCAUUUGUAAGGACACUGGCCACGUUGGAUCCCCACAAAAUGACCUUCAUUACCUUUCUCCAGGCCAAACACAGUCCCAUCCUGAGGUCCUGGGGGCCUGCUCGAGUUGCCACCGAAAUGAUGCUUCUGAAAUGCAAGGCCAACCCUGGUCUCAGCCGACUGUGACCCUCCGAUGGCUUCAGACUCCCCACCACAGUGUCUCCAACCUUUCAAUGCCCAGCUGCUCAGACCCCCAGCUUUGAAGAAUCUUGUCCUUGCUGGAGUUUGGACGUGUCCCUCACGAGGCCUCCUCCCUCCCUUCUUCGAAGUGGCAGAUCUCCGGCGUGGGAGCUGGGGACACCCUGCCAUGUGGUUAGAUCUAGUGUCUGCAGAAGGUUUAUGUGUUAGGGGUGGAAGGAAUGUAUCACAGUGAAACGCAAGUGGACUAGAAGAUGAAAUCCACGCAUCGCACGAAGUCUCCUCGCCUUACCCCCUCCCGUUCCCAUCCUUUCUGCAUGCCGGGCACUAUGAAUGGGUCUGCCCAUGAUGCCACACUAUACUUUGGCCAUGCUGUUCCCCUCUCUCUCUCUCAUACCAGGUAUCAAACUCAGGACCUUGCACUUCUGAGCGGUGGCACUGAGCUAGAUCCCCAGCCCUUGCUGUUUUCUCUUUCAAAGCCAGCACAGCAAUGUGCCAGACACCUCAUCAAGUGCUUUGUGUGUUUCAGCCCCUUUCACACUUUCAGAGUAACCCUGGGAAGGGCUGCAGUUGUUAUCCCAUUAUUUAAACUCGAUGGCUCAGAGUGGGUAAGUGACUUGUGUGGGCAGGCGUGGGAGCUUCAGGUCCUGAGCAGGGAGGCACGGUGCUAGCACUGCCCUCCUGGCAAACGCUGUCAUCUUUCAAAUCCACUCCAGCAGCACCUCUUCCCUGGAGUCCUCCCUGACCUCUUCGGGAGGAGUUGACUAUAACAAGCCUUGUGUCCCACAGGGCCCCACACGUACCCUUUAUAGAGAUUUGUGUGUGUGCACUAGGGAUGGAGCUGGAGCCUCGUGCGUGGGGCAGGCCCUGUGUCGCUGAGCUACGCCCCCGACCGACCCCUGGCAUAGCUCCUCCCAGGAUGGCUGGCCGCCUCCCCACCUCAUG